rnacentral:snoRNA from 1 species
GAGAAAUGAGGAUACAGAAUUCAUCUUAACUUCUGUAGUGAAGACUUCAGAUCCAACUCUGAUCUCACGCUGGAG